GUACGCACGAUCUCUCGCCCCCCUCCGCACGACCUCUCGCCCCCUCUUGCUCCUCCCCGCGCCGUCUGCCGCCCGUCGCUCCUUCGCUGCGGGAGCCGCCCACUGUCGCGCCUUUCGCCGCGGGACAGCCGGAGCCGCCGCCGCGGGCGCCGCCGUCCUUCGCUGCGGGAGUCGCCGCAGGUCGCGGCCGACCGUCGCGCCCUUCGCCCCUGGGAUAGCCGGAGGCCGCCGCCCGUCACGCGCCGGGGGAGCCGCCGCAGCCCUUCGCCGCGGGACAGCCGGAGCCGCCGCGACCGUAAUUAGCCGCCCGCCCACCCUCUCCCGCUCAUCCUCGCCCUCCUCCCGCCGCCGCCGCCCUCCUCCCGCCCAUCCUAUUCUCCUCCGCCGCGAGCGUGAGCAGCCGCCCGCCGGUCCUCCUCUGCUGCCCCAACAAGGUGGGAGAGCGUGAGCAUCCCGCCAGCCUUCCUCUGCUGCCACUCGGAAAAACGUGAGCGCGGCCGGGUGGCGGUGUCCGCCUCUGCUGCCGACAACGACCUUAUCCAGCCAGUGAAUUAUCAUGAUCCAACGCCAAUACCACACUCAGCACUAAAAGGGUCAGAGUCUGGUUUAUGAGUAUUUAAGCUCAAUCUGAUUUAUGAGUAUUUAAGCUCUUCGUAUGGUUCACAAAUUGUUUGCUGUCACUCCAAUUACCUUUUCAAAGCUCUCAGAAUUCUGAACAUUCCUCAGGUGGCACAAAAAUUACCACCCAGAAGCUUCUGAGCUUUCUGAUCUAAGAUAUUUAUGCAAUCUCACUCACAAUAUUUUAUAUUUUCUGUUUUUGCCUCCUCCCUAACAACACCUACUUUAUUUAUACAGGUUCAGACCAUUCCCACUCAUCACCAUUCCCUGCAUCUAAGGUCCUUUUUGUCACAGUUUCAGAUUUACUAAAACACUUGACAGUUCGAUUUACUCAAACAUUUAUGAAUUGAGCUUCUCAAUAUUACAUGACAACUCCGCAUGCCUACUCUUAAGAUCCUUGUGUAGCAUCGUUUUGUCAUUGGACUGAAUUAGGAUUUAAGAAUUAAGCUUCUCAAUAUUACAUCACAGCUCUGCAUACCUACUCUUAAGAACCCUAUGUACCAUUGUUUUGUCAUUCUACUGAUUUAGGAUGUUCCCCAACACAUGUCACUGAUGAGGAAUCAUCGUCCGUCUGCGUUAGAAUCAGCCGAGCGUUCCCCAUUUAAAGAUCUGACAAAUACACCUACUAAUGAGACUGCGAAUCAAGCGAGUGAAAAACCAAAAAGUGGAACAAAUUGGUAUGCACGGAUGUCCGAUGAGAAGAGAGCAGAGUACAACCAGAAGCGGCAUAUGGCCCAAGCCGACAAAAAGGCUGCAUCUGCCAUUGGUAUUGACCAUGAGGAAGUCUCUGAACCACAUGCUCCUUCGUUGCUGGAUGUGCUACGAACCCCUUUGAGCAACAUAUCCAACUCAAACGUACAAGCCGGUGAAAAAGCAAAAAGCGGUAAAAAUUGGUAUGCACGAUUGUCCGAUGAGAAGAGAGCGGAGUACAACCAGAAGCGACGUAUGGCCCGAGCAGACAACAAGGCUGCAUCUGUCCUUACUAUUGGACAUGAGGAAUUCUCUCGAACACAUGCUUCUUCAUCGCUGGAUGUGCUACGAACCCCUUUGAGCAACAUAACCGCUGCAACCUCGGCUGAUACCGACCAUCAAUUUGGAGAUGCAGCUCUUGGACGCAGAAAACGAAGCUCUGACGAGGAGAUAGCAGAGCACUGCAAGAAGCUCCGGAUCGCUCGACUAGAAAAGCGAGCUGCAACCACUAGCGUCCAAGUACUGCUCAUAGUGGAUCAUCUAUGCAGACAGAUGGUCAGAUUGAUUGGCUGCACACGAAUCCCACUUAUGAACGACAACAGAUGAAUGUUCAUGAGGUAGUGGACAUGUCUGUAUCUGAAGGGAGACAUAGGCAAGAAAGUUUUCUGCCCGGAAGUAACUCACUUCGCUCUGUUCAAGUGACUGAGGUAUCUUCUGCCAAGAAACGGCAUCGCAUGAGAGAACAAUAUCAUGGAAUGACGCCAGAAGAAAAAGAAGUUGUGUUGCAGAGGAAACACGCGUAUAAGAUGGGAAAACGCCAUCCAUGGUCUGAACAGUCCAACCUUGCUGAGCCAGCAUGUGGAUCUGCAGCCCCCUAGCCAAGUGGUGUGCAUCCAGGUGGCCAGAACAAUGGUGAAGACUCCGAUGAUGCUUGAAUAUUAGAGCCUAUGGAUCCAUCUGCCGAAGUGGACGAAUGCUUGCACGACACACAACACGGGCAACCAAUGUAUGGUGAUGAUGAUGAUGGUGAUGAUGAAUGCAGGAUAUUUACCAUGAAUGCAUAUCCCCUUAUAUCAUGCAGACUAUGACACAUUUUUUACCCCAAUAUUAUUGUUCACGUCCGCCUUAUUAUUGCCUCACAUACUGAUACAAAUCUAGGAGAUUGGUCUUUUCUGGACACCUGCUGCGACACUAAGAACUGGAGUUAAAGAAGCAAACUACUGAGCUUGAUUUCUCCUGUGACCAUUGCAAAGAGUGCUGAUUCUAUAUCUCGAGCAUUGGUGACAAAGGCAUAUUUUCUUUAAAGGUGCCUCUGUUUCAUAUCACCCAAGCUGGAAAAUAUGAGGAUCUUCUCCAAGCGGGACCUGAGCUCAAUGCACCAAGAACAACAUCAAUUGAAGCAACACUUCCUGUAUAUAUAUAAUGUAUUGUGAGCCUUGGAUCGUGUGAGGCUAAUGUAUUGUGAGCCUUUUACUUUGAACUGUGUGAUAAUGACGUGUCAGAGUUAUGGAUUGUGGAGACCAAAUUUAUGUGACAAUUCUGUAAUGUGAGCCUCGAAUUUCUUUUCCAGCCCCAUUUUUUUGUGAAAUAAUGAUGUGUUAGAGUUCACAAAUAUUAAAAAAUUUUCUUUGUAAGCUCAACACUAAUGUACUUAUGAAUGUAUGAAAGUCUCAGACAUUUACUCA